rnacentral:rRNA from 1 species
CGCGUGAGAAUCUAGCUUCAGAACGGGGACAACAGAGGGAAACCACUGCUAAUACCCGAUGUGCCGAGAGGUGAAAGAUUUAUCAUCUGAAGAUGAGCUCGCGUCCGAUUAGCUAGUUGGUAAGGUAAGAGCUUACCAAGGCGACGAUCGGUAGCUGGUCUGAGAGGAUGACCAGCCACACUGGGACUGAGACACGGCCCAGACUCCUACGGGAGGCAGCAGUGGGGAAUUUUCCGCAAUGGGCGAAAGCCUGACGGAGCAAGACCGCGUGAGGGAGGAAGGCUCUUGGGUUGUAAACCUCUUUUCUCUGGGAAGAAGAUCUGACGGUACCAGAGGAAUCAGCAUCGGCUAACUCCGUGCCAGCAGCCGCGGUAAUACGGAGGAUGCAAGCGUUAUCCGGAAUUAUUGGGCGUAAAGCGUCCGUAGGUGGCGGUUCAAGUCUGCCGUUAAAACCAGUAGCUUAACUACUGACAGGCGGUGGAAACUGAACAGCUAGAGUGUGGUAGGGGUAGAGGGAAUUCCCAGUGUAGCGGUGAAAUGCGUAGAGAUUGGGAAGAACACCGGUGGCGAAAGCGCUCUGCUGGACCACAACUGACACUCACAGGACGAAAGCUAGGGGAGCGAAAGGGAUUAGAUACCCC